rnacentral:tRNA from 1 species
GGUGGCGUCGAUCUGCUGCUGCUUGAUCGCGAACACCUUGUGGCGCAGCGGCGCGGCGCGCUGGUUCGACACCACGCCGCCACCGCCA